rnacentral:rRNA from 1 species
GACGUAGGAGGCGAGCGUUGUCCGGAGUUACUGGGCGUAAAGCGCGCGCAGGCGGCCCUGUGCGCUGCCGGUGAAAGCUCCCGGCUUACCUGGGAGAGGUUCGGCAGGACGGCAGGGCUGGAGGGUGGGAGAGGUCGGUGGAAUUCCCGGUGUAGUGGUGAAAUGCGUAGAGAUCGGGAGGAACACCCGUAGCGAAGGCGGCCGACUGGACCACACCUGACGCUGAGGCGCGAAAGCGUGGGGAGCGAACAGG